AAUGACAUAUGAUGUUGACCAUGUUUUCAUAUUCUCUUAACAGUGUCUUUUGCAGAAAAGAUAUUUUUUAUUUUAAUCAAUUCUAACUUAGCCAGUUUUCCUUCAUAAAUUGUGAUUUUGGUGUUGUAUCUCAAAAUUUACCACCAAACAUAAUGUCAUCUAGGCUUUCUCCUAUGUUGUCUUCUAGGAGUUUUAUAGUUUUGUGUUUUACAUUUAGGUCUGUGAUCCAUUUUGAGUGCGUUUUUGUGGAAAGUGUAAGUUCUGUGUGUGGAUUCAUUUUGUUUAGAUAGGGCCAUUCAAUUCUAGCACCAUUUGUUGAAUGGACUAUCUCCAUUCAACUGCCUUUGUUCCUUUGUCAAAGAUAAGUGGACAGUAUUUGCGUGGAUCUAUUUCUGGGCUCCCCGAAUUGUUUUUGCAUCUGUUGAGAUGUUCAAGGGGUGGAGUUCUUUUGUUUCUUUGUUUUGGUCUUUUAUUCCCUCAUAUGAUAUAUUCCAUUGAUUGAUGUUCAAAUGAUAAUCAAUCUUGCAUUCCCGGUUAGACAAAUCCCACUUGCUCACGCUGUAUUAUCCUUUAUGUAUGUCGCAGAAUUGGUUUUAUGGUAAUUUUUUAUACAUGUUAUAUCUAUGUAGAUAAGGGUUAAUCGCUCUGUAGUUUUCAUGUGUUGUCUCUGUCUCACUUUGAGAUCAGAGGAAUUCUGACCUCAUAGAAUGAGUUUAGAUAUGUUCCUUCUCUUUUAUUUUCUGGCAGAAUUUGUGAAGAUUAGUGACAUUUCUUGUAAAUAUCUGAUAGAAUUUCCUUCUGAAGACAUUUGGACUUGGGAUUUCCUUGUGGGACUUGUGGUUUUUACAGACGUGGCCAUACAUUUCUCCCAGGAGGAGUGGGGCCUUCUUGAUGAGGUUCAGAGAAGCCUGUACCGUCAUGUGAUGCUGGAGAACUUUGCACUUUUAUCAUCACUAGGUUGUUGGCAUGGAGCCCAGAAUGAGGAGGCAACUUCAGAGCAAGGUGUUUCUGUGGAAGUGUCACAGGUCAGGACUCCAAAGCCAAGUCUGUCCAUCCAGAAGGUCCAGCCCUGUGAAAGAUGUGGCUCACUCUUGAAAGACAUUUUGUGCCUGGCUGAGCACAAUGGAACACACCCUGAACAAAGACUGUACACUUGUGAUGCAAAGUUGUACCAGCACCAAAGGCAACAGAUUAGCAAGAAACUUUCUAGAAGGGACAACGGGGGGCCUUUAUUUGUGAAGAAAAGUAAUGUUCACAUGACAGAGAGGACCUUGACGUGCCUCGAAGGUGGGAAGGGCUUCCCAGCUGGCACAGUCCUUCUGCAUCCCCCAGCCCCUCACAGUUGGGGGAAGCCACACAGGGAUACUCUAGGUGGAGAUGCCUUUGAAAAUAGACAAAAUUAUUACAAGUUUACUCAGUGUGGGAAAGCCUUCAGCAAUAAACAGAUACUUCUUGACCAUGAGAAAAUCCACAGUGGAGAGAAGCUUUAUGAGUACAGAGAAUGCAGGAUGGUCUUCCUUAGAAAGUCCCACCUUGAUCAGGAGCAGAAAGUCCACACUGAAGCCAGGCUUUAUGAGCACCCAGAAUGUGAAGUAUUCUUUAAACAAAUAUGUGGCCUCAGUGACCACCAGAGAAUUCACACCAGGCCAAGAAGGCCUUUUGAGUGCAGCCAAUGUGGGAAGGCCUUCCUUAGACUGUCCCAACUCACUGGUCACCAGAAAAUCCACACUGGAGAAAGACCGUAUGGUUGCAGUGAAUGUGGAAAAUUCUUUAGGAACCACUCCACACUCACUCGACAUCAGAGAGUUCACACUGGAGAAAGGCCUUACAAGUGCAGUGAAUGUGGGAAGGCUUUUACCCGCAAACAUAAACUUGUCGAGCAUCAGAAAAUCCAUAGUGGCGAAAAACCCUAUGAGUGCAGAGAAUGUGGGAAAGCUUUUAGCCGCAAAGACAAAGUUGUUGAGCACCAGAAAAUCCACACUGGAGAAAGGCCUUAUGAGUGCAAGGAAUGUGGGAAAGCUUUCAGACGCAAACAUAAACUUGUUGAGCAUCAGAAAAUCCACACUGGAGAAAGGGCUUAUGAGUGCAAGGAAUGUGGGAAAUUCUUUAUGGACAGCUCCUCACUCAUUAUUCAUCAGAGAGUUCACACUGGAGAAAGGCCUUAUGAGUGCAGCAAAUGUGGGAAAUUCUUUAGGUACCGCUUCACACUCAUUAGACACCAGAGAAUUCACACUAGAGCAAGGCCUGAUGAGUGCAGUGAUAUGGGAAAUUCUUUAGUUGGAACUCCAGACUCAUUAGACAUGGGACAAAUCACACUAGAGAAAGGCCUUAUUAGUGCAUCUAAUGUGGGAAGUUUUUGUGCUAUGAAUCCAGACUCCUUGCACACCUAGAGUUCUCAUUGAUGUGAGUCCCUGUGAGAACUGUGAGUAUGGGAAUGUCUUUACAUACGACUCCAGCCUCAUUAAACCUUGUUGAAUUUGCAACACUGGAGAAAUGCCUUAUGAAUGCAAUGAAUGUGGGAGCGUCUUUAGCCAAAACUCUCACUUGUUUGGCUUCAAAAAGUUCAUACCAGAGAAAGAACUUAUGAGUGCAGCAAAUGAGGAAAAGACUUCAGCCAAAGGUCUGCUCUGAUUGGCACUGUGUAGUACUGCUAUGUACUUUUGGAUUUGUUUUCAUUGUAAAAUACACAUACAUAAACUUUGCCAUUUUAAGUAUUUUUUUAGUGUAUAGUACUGUUAAGUACACUCACAUUGUUGUGCAACAAAUAUCCAGAACUCUUCAUCUUGUAAAAGUGAAACUCUGUACCCGUUAAACAAUGACUCCUCUUCUCUUCCUCCAGCCCCUGGCAAGCUCCAUUCUGUUUUCUGUCUCUGUGAAUUGGACUGCUCUAGCUUCCUCAUGUAAGAAGCAGCAUACAGUGUUUGUCUUUUUGUGAGUAGCUUACUUCAAUUACCAUAACCUCAAAUUUCACCUAUCAUGUAGCAUGUUUCAGUAUUCCUUCCUUUUUAAAGCUGAAUAAUACUGCAUUGUAUAUUUAUACCACAUUUUCUUUAUCCAUUCAUCCACUGCUAGACACUUCCCCUGCUUCCACAUUUUGGCUGUUGUGAAGAAUGCCAUGAGAAUGAGUGCACAGAUAUCUCCUCAAGACCCUGUUUUCAAUUCUUUUGGGUAUGUAGCCAGAAGUGGAAUGGCUGAGUCACAUGGUAAUUCCAUUUUUAAUAUUUUGAGGAACUGUUUUCUAUCUCGGCUGCACAAUUUUAUAUUUUCAUCAAAGGUCCACAAGAAUUCUAGUAUCUCCACAUCCUCAUCAACAUCACUUUAUUUUCUGUGUUGUUUGAAAUCUCAGCUAUCCUUAUCCUUAUGAGUGUGAGGUAGGAUCUCACUGUGGUUUUAUUUCACAUUUCUCUAAUGACUAAUGAUCAUAGAUUCAGCCAUUUGUGUGUAUUCUUUGUAAAAAUGUCUACAUUUGUCCAUUUUUUUUAAAUCUGGUUAUUUUCUUAUUGACUUGUAGCAGUUCUUUAUGUAAUCUAGAUACUAACUGAUUGUCAAGUAUGAUAUGCAGAUGUUUUCUUCCAUUCAGGAGGUUGCCUUUUCACUCUAAAUUGUGUCCUUUGAUGCACAGAAGUUUGUAAUUUUGAUAUAGUCCAAUUAUCUAUUUUUGCUUUUGUUUCCUGUGCUUUUGGUGUCAUGGCCAAGAAAUUAUUUCAAAAUCCAGUGUCAUGAAGCCUUUGCCCUGUUUUCGUCUAAGAAUUUUAUGGGUGUACAUUAUCCACUUUGGGUUUGUUUUUGUUUGGUGUAAGGUAAGGGUCCAACUUCAUUCCUUUCAAUGUGGAUAUCCACUUUCACCUACACCAUUUGUUGAAAAGACUGUUUUACCCCCAUUGAAUUGUCUUGGCACUGUUGUCAGUUAUUUGACUGAAUAUGCUGGCUUUCAUUUCUGGGCUCUCUGUUCUGUUUCACUGAUCAGUGUUUGUCUUUAUGCCAGCACUACAUGGUUUUGAUGUAUAAUUUUAUGAAAGUACUGUCUUGA